GUCCGGGAAUUACGAGCAAAGCUUAAAACCCAAAGGACUUGACGGUACCCCAUAUCCCCCUAGAGGAGCCUGUCCUAUAAUCGAUAAUCCCCGUUCAACCUCACCAUAUCUAGCUUUUUCAGCCUGUAUACUUCCGUCGUCAGCCUACCACGUGAGCGAUACCUAGUUAGCCUAAUGUCCACACAUUAAUGUGCUCAUAUCGUCAAUACGUCAGGUCAAAGUGCAGCAAAUGCUAUGGGAAGAGAUGGGCUACACUUUUUAAUAUAAAAGAAACGAAAAACAAAUGAAACUUUGUCAUAAGGUGGAUUUAGAAGUAAAAGAAAAACAUUAAGUUCCUUUUAACCCGGCACUGGGGUGUGU
rnacentral:rRNA from 1 species